GAACGCUGGCGGCGUGCCUGACACAUGCAAGUCGGACGGUUCUUGUAUCUUCAAGCUUGCUUGCAGGUGCAAGGAUAGUGGCGGACGGGUGAGUAACGCGUGAACAUCUACCCAUUGGAGGGGGACAACCCGUCGAAAGGCGGGCUAAUACCGCGUAAGCCGCGAGGUGAGAGGCUGCCUAUUGGUGGCCGCCGAUGGAUGGGUUCGCGUCCUAUCAGCUGGUUGGUAAGGUAACGGCUUACCAAGGCUAUGAUGUUUAGGGGUCCUGAGAGGGUGGUCCCCCACACUGGUACUGAGACACGGACCAGACUCCUACGGGAGGCAGCAGUGAGGAAUAUUGGUCAAUGGGCGCAAGCCUGAACCAGCCAUCCCGCGUGCAGGAAGACGGCCCUAUGGGUUGUAAACUGCUUUUCCAGGGGGAGAAUAAUCCUGUCGUGACAGGACUUGACGGUACUCUGGGAAUAAGCAUCGGCUAACUCCGUG
rnacentral:rRNA from 1 species